rnacentral:rRNA from 1 species
CAGUCGCCACGGGAAUACGUAGGGUGCAAGCGUUAAUCGGAAUUACUGGGCGUAAAGCGUGCGCAGGCGGUUCGCUAAGACAGAUGUGAAAUCCCCGGGCUUAACCUGGGAACUGCAUCUGUGACUGGCGGGCUAGAGUAUGGCAGAGGGGGGUAGAAUUCCACGUGUAGCAGUGAAAUGCGUAGAGAUGUGGAGGAACACCGAUGGCGAAGGCAGCCCCCUGGGCCAAUACUGACGCUCAUGCACGAAAGCGUGGGGAGCAAACAGGAUUAGAUACCCGAGUAGUCCCUGUCUCUUAUAC